AUUGAACGCUGGCGGCAGGCCUAACACAUGCAAGUCGAACGAGUGGCGGACGGGUGAGUAAUGUCUGGGAAACUGCCUGAUGGCGGGGGAUAACUACUGGAAACGGUAGCUAAUACCGCAUACCAUCAGAUGUGCCCAGAUGGGAUGAGCUAGUUGGUGGGGAAACGGCUCACCAAGGCGACGAUCCCUAGCUGGUCUGAGAGGAUGACCUACCACACGGGAACUGAGACACGUUCCAUACUCCUACGGGAGGCAGCCGUGGGGAAUAUUGCACAAUGGGCGCAAGCCUGAUGCAGCCAUGCCGCGUGUAUGAAGAAGGCUUUCGGGUUGUAAAGUACUUUCAGCGGGGAGGCGUUACCCGCAGAAGAUGCACCGGCUAACUCCGUGACAGCAGCCGCGGUAAUUC
rnacentral:rRNA from 1 species